ACAUGAUUGACUUUACUAAUUAAGAACAUUUUGUAAGUUUUGCUAUUAGCUGUAUUUGUUAUUAUGUCCAUUUUUAUAACCUUUAGAUUUUUUUCAUGUCUACUUACCUUUCUAGGUAAAAACAAACCUACUGUUGAUCGUACCUUAACUUACAUUCCAGCUCCAACUUCGGAAGGGUUUUAUGAUGUUACCUCGCCUAACAAAUUAAGGAACUCUCCUCUGCUGAUUCUGGUGGUCUCUCAGUCCAAGGGAACCGUGAUGAAGAAAUAACUGAAAGUCCCACAGGGUUUGGCUAGCAGGCCUGGAAAUACCUUGGACAUUUGGGUGACCCUUGGAUCAAAAGAGGGGAUUGUGAUAGAAUUUAUCUUGAUUCCAAAGCUCAAGCUUAUAGGUGUCAUAUAAUGAUAUCCUAUAUUAAAAUUGACUAACUUGGACUCAGGAAAUACUUGAUGCUUAAAAUGACACUGAAGACCAUAUAUGUCUAGUUCCGGGAGCAGAUAGCCCCCACCUGAGAUGUCUCUUCUCAUAUCAUUCUGUUCUUUCUCUU